UUACUUUACUUACUUUAACACUUUAACUUUCAUUUUUAAGCUAUUCUUCCAUGUAGGCUUUGGUAGGCUUACAUUCAUUCAUUAUUAUACUAGUUAAAUAUUUUUGCAAAGCUCUAGAACUUUAAUGAUUAGAACUUUUCAGUGGUUUUAAUUUAGAUAAAUGCUGGGAGGCCAUUUCUACUCUGCCAACUUAAUGCUUUGCCUACUAAUGCAUUGCCUCUGUGAACUAACGCGGAGCACUUGAAAUGCUAGGACUAUUUUGAAACCCCGACUCCGUGUUCUCUGCUUUUACUAUUUGGAGUGCCCUUCGGCUUAUGCAGUUUUUCCCCAAAAAUUGUAAUAUUAAAUAUGAACUUUCUUAAAUUUAUUUCAAUUUUUUUCUCAAAGAAUGCACUGUCCAAUUUUUUGAUUGCAUUGAAUCUUUAUAUGAUUGUGUAUAAUUUGUGUAUGGGAAAUUUUUGAGAGAUUUGUAUUGAGAAAAACUGAUAUUGUUCUCUACCUUUGAGUGCAUAAUAAACACAAGAUAAAGACAAAAAUGAAUCAUGUUUUAUUUUCCACAAGCCAUAGGAUUUUAAUUCAAAUAAAAAUUUUGGGCAAGAGUAUGUCUCAAAAGGGGACUUUGUUUUAUCCUUCAAAUGUUUUGCUGGUUGUGAAUUUCAGAAGAAACGAAAUUAUAUCACAAUUAACAAAUUUGUUUUUCCUUGAGAUAAAUUUUACAAUUAAAAAGUUAUUAUUUUUUUUAUAUGUAAAAUAAGUUUUAUGUUCAUUACGUUAAGAGUUUUCAAAAUUGGUAAAAUUCUUUUAUUUUCUCAGUUGAAUUCUGCAUUAAAGGUUGAAAUUCUCUUUCUACCUCUAAACUUUUUACUUCAUUUUAAAUGUUUUCUUUCUUAAAUAGUCUGGACAACCACAAUAAUUUCUUUUAUAAGCCUUUAUUCAAUAUUUUGCAGGCUGGAUCCUUGCCCUGUAUAUUUAAUUACUGUAUAGUAAUAGAAUUUUUUUUAAUUGCUCAUUGUUAUUGACAAAGGCUAACUGCUGGAGAUUUUUCUAGCUUCGAAUUUCAUUCCUCAGGGGGUUUAUCUCUUUAUGAUAAACACGGGUGUCACAAUCCCGAGGUUCCCUAGUGGUCUUUAAUUCCCAUGCUCAGUUCAGUUAAAAGGCGUAGUUAUUAAAACAAUGGGAAAAAGUCAAAUAAUAGUUGGUGAUUUAAAGUUAGUUAGGACAAUUUUGAAAAUUAUUACAUUUGAUUAAAGAUUUAAAGCAAAAGUGAGUAUUAUGCUUAAAAUGAAAUAGUUAAAAUAGAAAGAAAAAGUGAUUGUUAAGGUAGUGGUUAGUACCUGGUUGGACAAUAACCAGCAAAGGAUAAGUGUCAAAUUGUUCGUUUAUGUUUCAAAAGUUUUGCAUGUACCAUCACCUGCAUUCUCUGGCUCUCUUUAUGUUGAUCUACACAUCCAUCACCUCCUAGAACUAGAAACCAACACAUAUCAGGAGAGUGACUCAUACUAGGUAGUCUUUUUCGACCACUACAUCCUAGAACAGGUGAUUCGACUCGCUUGUUACAUCUAAAUUAUGUUACAACCAAGUUAUACCAUAAACAUUUAUUCCAUUUCUAUUAAUAAGUAGUUUCUCCAUCUUUAUGGAAGAACUUCGAUUAAUAAUAAAACUCUCAAAAUAUAAUAUAAUGAAGUACAGAAUAAUAUAGUGGUAGACUUUAUAAAAUAGAGUCAAAUUCAUAUUGUAGCUAUCAUAGCUUUACUCCCCUAAAAUUUUAAUAUGGAAAAUAGUAGUAAUUUGUUACUGAUUCAACUACUUAUUUGUGGAUAAGUGAAAAGAAAUUUCUAUGGGUGAUGGAAAACUAUCUCUUAGUGAAAAUGUCAACGAAUGUUCCUUAAAAAAAAUAUUUAAAAAUAAAAAUUAGAUUAUAAUAAAUGCAAAUUGAUUUUUAAUGUAUGAUUACUUUUGUAAUGUUUUAAAUUUUGUUGUAGAAGUUUCUUUUAAACUAGGCUAUUGCUUUUUACAAUAAUUGUUUAAAAAGACAUAAGUGCAUACCCAAAAUGUUCGGGUAUAUAGUUUUCAGUGCCCAUUUUCACAUAUCUCAAAACCCAAGGAAAUUUCUUCAUUGACAAGAAUAUUCAUAGUAAUCGACGUUGCAAAUUUCGGGUGAUUUUCUACAAACGUUAAUUCUUUUUCAAGAUCUGGUGAUAAGUCUUGAAUAACGUUACAACACAGACAACAUCUGGGUAAGGAUUUUUCAGGCCACUCCUAUCAAAUUUAGUAAUCCACUAAUUUGUAGCAUUACUAUUUAGUAAUUAAAAGUACAGGAAUUAAUUUUUUUAGCUAAAGCGGGAUGCAUAAUCAGUUAUUGCUUGUAAAGAUCUAAACGCCUAUUUUAACAUAAGUUCAUUAUUUACUGUUAAUUUGGUUUCCAAAUUAGUUGAUUAGUUAAUAUUUUCCCAGGUAUUAUCAUUAAAGAUACGAAAGUAAAUCUUGUGAUUUUAAAUAAAUGUGCUAAAUGCCUUCCAACCUUAAUAUGUUCAUUUUCAAAUUCUUCCCCGAUAUUAUAUUCUGGUGUGAUCCUGAGAGUUUCCUAUACUUACCUAAUCUUUCUUCCAGCGAAUCAGAUUGAAUUUUUCCAGGAAGAAAGUUUGUUUUGACUAAGCAGUAUCGUGCGAGUUCCAUUAAGGCGCAAGUAGACAAUUGGAAUUUCUUAGUGCAGUGUGAGAUUCAGACAACCUGUUGUUGAUUUCAUAUUUUUCCAACUAUCCAGUCACAACGCGAACUGGUUUAAAAAGUUUUAUUUUGUAUCGUGUUAAGGUGAAAAUCAACAAGAUUUUAGGCUGGUGCGACCACGUUGGCCACACCCUUACACCUAAAAGUUCAUCCCUCAUAAUGAUCUUGCUAUCUCCAUUCGUAACAUAACUGUACCAAUUGUGCCACACGCAAAGUUUGUUGGUGUCAUUUUCGAUAGUUAAAUGACCUUUAUCCCACAUAUCAAACAAUUGCGAAAGCUAUUCGAGCAGAAAUUAAAUAUGCUGCUUGUGUUAUAUAUUUUGGAGAGUAAAUCGCCUAGCCUUACUCUCAACUAUCAAUCAUCUAUUGUAUUAAAUUCAAAACUCAUAAAUAGUAGUAAUAUUGGUCAUGCAACACAAUACGUAACUAAUGCAAUUAUCUCAGUAGCUGAAAAAUCUAUGCCAUAUACAUCUCAGAACUACCUAAGCAACCAAAGCCCUGGUAGCAUCAUGAAUGCCUCCUAACUCGAAAAGCGCAAAAAAAAGGUUUGGAGGAAUUUUCGCAAAUUUCCUACAGUUGAAAAUUCGAACAAGCUCGCGCUCUAGCCCGUAGAACCCGUCGUCAAAGCCAAAGAAAAUCCUGGAUAACUUAUGUCAGUGAAAUCAAUGUUAAUACUCCUU